rnacentral:lncRNA from 1 species
CUUUUUUGUCCUAACAGGCGGCAAUGGUGGACUUGGUGGCUUGUAAGGCGGUGCUGGAGUUGUUGGUGGCUUAACUGGAGGUGUAGGAACUGGGGGCUUAUAUGGGGGAGUUGGUGCUUUAGUUGGUGGUGCUGGUGCUGGAGUUGGUGCUUUGGUUGGGGGUGCUGGAGCAGGUGUUGGGGGCUUAUAUGGGGGUGUAGGGGCCUUGACUGGAGGUGCCGGUGCGGGAGUAGGGGGUUUAUAUGGGGGAGUAGGAGCCUUGGUUGGUGGUGUUGGUGCUGGGGGCUUAUAUGGUGGAGUAGGAGCCUUGGUUGGUGGCGCAGGAGCUGGGGGCUUAUAUGGUGGAGUAGGAGCCUUGGUUGGUGGCGCAGGAGCUGGUGGUUUAUAUGGUGGAGUGGGGGCCUUGGUUGGUGGUUUAUAUGGUGGAGUGGGGGCCUUGGUUGGGGGUGCUGGAGUUGGGGCCUUGUACGGCGGUGCCGGAGUGGUGGGAGGCUUAACGGGUGGAGCAGGGAUAGGUGCCUUCACUGGAACAGGAGCAGCAUACUUAAUCUGAACAGUGAUAUGCAACAAAUUUAGCAAAGUUCCAUUUACAGACUAUGGUCUUAUGCACCACAAUGGCUAACAGCAUUCAGUAUGAAAAAAUACAAGAAAGACAUUAUCCAAUAAAAAUAAAAAUAAAACAAGAAUCAGAUUGUUUCAAAAGAACCAAGUUUUAAAUUGUUACAACCUAGACAAGACAAAACAGUAAAAUAAAUGUUUGAAAAAUCACCUCAGUCUUCUCUCCCACUUCAUUGGAAGCAACCUACAAAAAAAAAAAGAGAGAGAGAGAGAGUUGGAUAAACAUCAAGAACUAAAAACUCUGUGGUUAAGUCAAAAGAUGAGAAAGGAAUUAGUCAUACUGUUGUUGAGACAAGCAGAAAAGUGGCCAAUAGUAACAGCAGCAGAGCUUUGAAAGCCAUUGGUAAGAGCUCACACUACCCUUUGGUGCAUUGGUCAGACACUGGGUUGUGGUUUAAAUAGAGAUUGCAGCUGCUAUUUACUUGGUCCAAUAAAUGCUACUUGCCAGCUUCACCAGAUCACUGACGCCUUAGUUAAAGAAGGUAUUUGGUAAUUAAAUUGAGUUAAAAUUCAAAUUUUAUUUAAAAAACAUUAAAGUUUUUAUUUUAUUCAAUUCAAUCCAACCACCCUUGUUAAUUUAAAAGUUAGCCCAAGGACUGUGUCUGCUAAAGUGGUGCUUUAUCAAAUAAAACACAGCCAUUUCAUAUCCAUAUUUAAUUAACCGACACACAAAAUCCGACCAUUCGAGACUUCGGGUCAUAAGCUUGCCUGAUUAUGUUUAAGAUUAUAUAAUAUGAUAUCCAUGUAUUUACUAACUUGAAUGAAGUGGAAGUUCAUUUAUUUGUCAGAUUAAAUUUAAAAUGUGGAGUUAAAAUUUUUAAAAAGUUUUAUCCGAAUAUUAUUUAGUUAGGAUAUAAUUAGGUUUAUCUGUCGUAAAAUGGAUAUAGACACUUAUAAAUAUACGAAUAAAGAAGAUGUUAAAUUUUUUUAAAAUUUUUAUAUUAAGUACAUUAAUUCCUCUAAAAAAACUGAAGCAAUUUAAUCUCUACCAAUUUAAAAAAUGAGUACUUAGAGACAAUUAAUGACAUCAUUAAAGUUUUUCAUCAUUCAAAAAACUGAAGUUAAUUUUCAAAGUUUAAACAUCUUCUUUUAUAUAUAUAUAUAUAAGAUAAUUAUAUAUUUAGAAUUAGGAUCAAUUUGAUAGAAUCUGUAAAUAUUGAAAGCUUAAUUUAUUAUUAUAUUAAUAAAAAAUUAUGUACAAUUAAUGAAACACAUUAUUUAUCAUGAUUGAUUAUUUUGAUUUUUGUGAGAGAUCAAUUUAGGGUUUUUUACAUUAAUAAUAUGAAAACAAUUAAUUAUGAAAAUGAGGCAAAAAGCAAACUAUUCAUGAUAAUAGAUUAUUUUAAAUAGUAAAAUGCGGUGUUGUCAAUGUAUUAGUCGACACCACCUCUAAAAAAUAAUAUUUUAAUAAAAAUAAAUAAAAUAACAAUUAAAUAAUAAUAUCUUAAUUUCAAAAGGAGUGGUAUCCAGUAUUUUAAUUUCAAAAGGAGUGCCGCCAAACAAGUAGCGAUACCUUUUUCACAUGUACUUUGUUUUUGUAUUUUAUACAUUUUUAAAUAAACUUUAUUUUUUUAGUUUUAUAAAUUUGUUUUAUUUAAUAAAAAAGCUAAUUUUUUUCAAUUUCAUUUGCUAAUUUUUUCAAUUUCAUACUUUUUUUAAUAUUUAAAAUAACGACUAAAUUGGUAAAAAAAUUUGGAUUUAUUAUUAAAAAUUUCUAUUAUUUUAGGAACUGUACCACUUAACCUAAACUGUGGCAUAGGACUUAGGUUUUACUUUUAUAUAAUAUGCAUGAUAUUUAAUUUAUUUUUCUUAAAUUUUGAAAUAUGGAUUUUAUAUAAAAUAAUAUUUUUAUGGACUUUUAGAGAUUACCAUCCAUAGCAUCUGUUAACAUUGUUAAAGAAUUGGUAAGUGCCUUCGUAUCAAUAAUAGGAUUUCAUAUUUAUGGAUUAUUGCAAUUUAACAAUAAUCUUUCGUCCGAUUAAUCAAUCUUUUACGGUUGCUUGUCGAAUUCUUGAAAAUCUUGGCAAAUCUUGAUUCAAUUGUUAAUUCAAGCAUAUUUUCCGUUGAAAGACAGAAUCUAGGUGAAUUGGAUUGAGAUCGAGCGUGAGGAAAAUCUAUCGAACCCCCGCUGAAAGGUGUGUAUUCUUUUACAAUUAAAUCAGAGCAAAUCGUAUCUAGAAAUAAGGCCACACGAUCUGCCACACGAAUGGACGACACAACCCUCCACACGACUAUGUACCCUGAAAACCCUAGUGUAGUUCGUAAACCACACAGCUUGCCACACGACUGUGCCUUCCUUGUAGCUUAAUUUUGCAAUUUCCACACUACCACAGUCUGCUACAAUUUUGCCUAAAAUUUUAUGUUAUGUUUAUUUUAGUCCCUGUUUGAUCCCUGAAUUGUUCCUAAAAGUUUUCGUGCACUUAAUUGAUCCUUGAAAUAGUGUUUAUAAGGAAAUCUACAAUUUAUAUUUUCAAAUUACUAUUGUUAUAACGUGUUUACUGAUAUUGCUCAACUGAAUCAUUAUAGUGCUAUGAAUAAACAUGUGAAAUUAAUCAUGUCUACUUUCAAAUUGUUAUUGAUAAAUUGUAAGUGUUAAUACUGUUAUCGCCCCCGCUAAAUACAUGAUGAACAUGUCUAUUGCUAGUGUUGAACGGAAUAAGUGUUAAGCAUGCCUAUGGAUGUUUGCGUUAUUAUGUUAUAAAGUAUGUCAUAUUGCAUUGCAUGGGGCAGGAUGAUUUGUACGGAGGAAGAGUAACAGUUUAAUAAUCUGUAAAGAAGUGGUGACUUGUCCACAAACCAAGUGGCAAUUUGUUUAAUUUGUAAAUAUGUUGUGCACCCACAACAAGUGACAGUAACUGCAAAUACGUGGUUUGAUCUCGAACCAAGUGGCAGCUUGUCUGUAAAUGUUUUUAUCUAAAAAUAUUAGUGGUCUACUCAUAAUUUUUACAAACCUAGUGUCAGUUUUUACCUACAAUUACGUUGUAUAUUCACAACAAGUGACAAUUUAUUUGCAAAUCAACAGUGGUUCAUCCACAACCCGCAGUGAUAUGAUAUAUGAGUUCUUAGGAACUCACAAGUGAGGUGUGUAGCGGAGUUGGGUAGGACUCCUUCUGACAAAUUGAGAUUGCACUGCCAUUGAUUAGCAUAUGCAUAAAAAACUGUGAUUUCUAAGAUAAUGUAGUGAAGUGAUGAUAUGAAAAAUCGUCAAUUUGAAGUGCUUUAUGAUUGUGAUUAUUCUCAAAAUUAUUAAACCCAUAUGUUUUUCCUAUUGUUUUGUUCUAGUUUUCUUGUGACCGAACUCACACUGAACUUCAUAAGCUCACUCCCCCUUUUUAUUUCCAUCUUUAUAGAUAACCUACCAAGUUAGGAUGCAGACUCGGCAUACUGAAGACUCGGUUUGGAUUGUUUUUUUUUUAAGAAGUAUUUUGGAUUUAUUAUUUGAAAUUUCUAUUAUUUUAGGAAUUGUACCACUUAAUCUAAACUAUGGCAUGAGACUUAGGUUUUGAUUUUAUAUAACAUACAUGACAUUUAAUUUAUUUUUCUUAAAAAUUGAAAUAUGGACUUUAAUUAAUUAUGCGUGAAAUAUAGAUUUUAUUAAAACUAAGAAAAUGUCACUUUUUCGCUGCUAAAUUAUAAAUAAAUUUUGAAGUAUUGGUUGAAUUGAAAAUUAACUAAAAUUUUCUUCUAGAGAUAAUGAAAGUUUAAAUACGAAUGUUUUGUAAAACUUCGAUCAUACUAGGCCAUUUCAGUGGCCGAUGUAAUCUCUUGAAUUGGAUCUAACGUUUAGGCCAGGUUGAAGAGG